UACGUAGGGUGCGAGCGUUGUCCGGAAUUAUUGGGCGUAAAGAGCUCGUAGGCGGCUUGUCGCGUCGGAUGUGAAAGCCCGGGGCUUAACUCCGGGUCUGCAUUCGAUACGGGCAGGCUAGAGUUCGGUAGGGGAGAUCGGAAUUCCUGGUGUAGCGGUGAAAUGCGCAGAUAUCAGGAGGAACACCGAUGGCGAAGGCAGAUCUCUGGGCCGUAACUGACGCUGAGGAGCGAAAGCAUGGGGAGCGAACAGG
rnacentral:rRNA from 1 species